rnacentral:rRNA from 1 species
AAUCGGAUCUCAGAUUAGGUAAGACUACCCGCUGAAUUUAAGCAUAUAAUUAAGCGGAGGAAAAGAAACUAMCAAGGAUUCCCCCAGUAAGGGCGACUGAAAAGGGAAGAGCUCACCGUGUGAAUCUGCGCAUACCGCGCAAGCGGGCGCGCCGAAUUGUGGUCUGGAGAGACAUUGUCGACCGUGGUUCCGGGCCAAGUCCCUUGGAAAAGGGCAGCUGAGAGGGUGAAACUCCCGUUCUUGCCUGGGAUUUGCGUGUCAUGGCACGUGUUCUCAAAGAGUCGAGUUGCUUGGGAUUGCAGCUCAAAGUGGGUGGUAAAUUCCAUCUAAAGCUAAAUAUUGGUGGGAGACCGAUAGCGCACAAGUACCGUGAGGGAAAGAUGCAAAGAACUUUGAAAAGAGAGUUAAAGAGUACCUGAAAUUGCUGAAAGGGAAGCAAAGGAAACCAGUGCGUUGUGCGUGUCAUAUUUCUCCUGCUGCUUGCGGUGGGGGCGCUGUGGCCGUGCGUAGCGUCAGCAUCGGUUCGUACUUYGGAGCAAACGGUGUGGCUGGAGGUUAUUCCAUUACGGGAUGAAUGACAG